rnacentral:rRNA from 1 species
GCCUUUGAUACUGGUUAUCUUGAGUUAUUAUGAAGUAGUUAGAAUAUGUAGUGUAGCGGUGAAAUGCAUAGAUAUUACAUAGAAUACCAAUUGCGAAGGCCGAUUACUAAUAAUCAACUGACACUGAUGGACGAAAGCGUGGGUAGCGAACAGGAUUAGAUACCCUGGUAGUCCACGCCGUAAACGAUGGUUACUAGCUGUUUGGACCUUGUGUCUGAGUGGCUAAGCGAAAGUGAUAAGUAACCCACCUGGGGAGUACGUUCGCAAGAAUGAAACUCAAAGGAAUUGACGGGGGCCCGCACAAGCGGUGGAGCAUGUGGUUUAAUUCUAUGAUACGCGAGGAACCUUACCAGGGCUUAAAUGUAAGUUGCAUUAGUUAGAGAUAGCUAUUUCUUCGGACCACUUACAAGGUGCUGCAUGGUUGUCGUCAGCUCGUGCCGUGAGGUGUCAGGUUAAGUCCUAUAACGAGCGCAACCCCUGUUGUUAGUUGCCAGCGAGUCAUGUCGGGAACUCUAACAAGACUGCCAGUGCAAACUGUGAGGAAGGUGGGGAUGACGUCAAAUCAUCACGGCCCUUACGUCCUGGGCUACACACGUGCUACAAUGGUCAGUACAGAGAGCAGCCACUACGCGAGUAGGAGCGAAUCUUAAAAGCCGAUCACAGUUCGGAUCGGAGUCUGCAACUCGACUCCGUGAAGCUGGAAUCGCUAGUAAU